rnacentral:rRNA from 1 species
UACAGAGGGGGCAAGCGUUAUUCGGAAUUAUUGGGCGUAAAGGGCGCGUAGGCGGCUUGGCAAGUGGAUGGUGAAAUCCCUCGGCUUAACCGAGGAACUGCCGUCCAAACUGCUUCGCUUGAGACCGGGAGAGGUGAGUGGAAUUCCCAGUGUAGCGGUGAAAUGCGUAGAUAUUGGGAGGAACACCAGAGGCGAAGGCGGCGAGCUGGUGUUUACCUGACGCUGAGGCGCGACAGCGUGGGGAGCAAACAGG